CGCAUGAUGUAUCUGGUGGUUAUGUUGUGAAUGAAAGGGAUAUUGCAGCUUAUCAGAAAAAUGGUUUCAUCAAAUUGUUGUUUUCAUCCAGAAAGCUAAUCCCUUUAAGUUUAAGGUUUCUAAGAAACACAAGCAGGACAAAGAAUUUGUUUGGGCCUGAGAAUUCGCUUAUAGGCAGAUGAAGAUCUUUACUUCCAUUUUGUUAAGUUGCUAUAUUUUCAAGCUGAACAAUGAAAACAAAACUGCAAAGUACAGAAUGACGCUUAAUCUUCACACAGAUGGUGAUACCGAGUUGAUCAUGAUUUAGCAGACCCUCAUAUAUGGAGCAAAUAGACAUACUGCAACUGGGCUAAAAAGGGUUCAACCGAAAGAUUCCAUUACUUUCGUUACUUUUUCAGUUAUUGUUAUACAGCACAUAGGUAAUGGACAUACAUAAACAUAAACGUCUCAAUGAGCCACACGCUUGGACAAACUUUAAUCUUCUGUAUUCUUGUAUAAUACACUAGAAAAGGACAAACUUCAAUCUUUAGUCUUACUUUAACUGGUAUGAAA